rnacentral:rRNA from 1 species
AGAGUUUGAUCCUGGCUCAGGAUGAACGCUGGCGGCGUGCUUAACACAUGCAAGUCGAACGAAGCAUUUAAGACGGAUUCUUUCGGGAUGAAGACUUUUAUGACUGAGUGGCGGACGGGUGAGUAACGCGUGGGUAACCUGCCUCACACAGGGGGAUAGCAGUUGGAAACGGCUGAUAAUACCGCAUAAGCGCACAGUACCGCAUGGUACAGUGUGAAAAACUCCGGUGGUGUGAGAUGGACCCGCGUCUGAUUAGCUUGUUGGCAGGGUAACGGCCUACCAAGGCAACGAUCAGUAGCCGACCUGAGAGGGUGACCGGCCACAUUGGGACUGAGACACGGCCCAGACUCCUACGGGAGGCAGCAGUGGGGAAUAUUGCACAAUGGAGGAAACUCUGAUGCAGCGAUGCCGCGUGAGGGAAGAAGGUUUUAGGAUUGUAAACCUCUGUCUUCAGGGACGAAAAAUGACGGUACCUGAGGAGGAAGCUCCGGCUAACUACGUGCCAGCAGCCGCGGUAAUACGUAGGGAGCGAGCGUUGUCCGGAAUUACUGGGUGUAAAGGGAGCGUAGGCGGGAUCGCAAGUCAGAUGUGAAAACUAUGGGCUUAACCCAUAAACUGCAUUUGAAACUGUGGUUCUUGAGUGAAGUAGAGGUAAGCGGAAUUCCUAGUGUAGCGGUGAAAUGCGUAGAUAUUAGGAGGAACAUCAGUGGCGAAGGCGGCUUACUGGGCUUUAACUGACGCUGAGGCUCGAAAGCGUGGGGAGCAAACAGGAUUAGAUACCCUGGUAGUCCACGCCGUAAACGAUGAUUACUAGGUGUGGGGGGACUGACCCCUUCCGUGCCGCAGCAAACGCAAUAAGUAAUCCACCUGGGGAGUACGACCGCAAGGUUGAAACUCAAAGGAAUUGACGGGGGCCCGCACAAGCAGU